ensembl:lncRNA
UUUGGAACAUGCUGAGUUUUUACCAUUUCAUUAGCGAUUAACAGUCACCACCUCAAACUUGUAUUUCAUCAUUGUUCUUUGAUCGGACUAACCUGCAUUGCUUUAUGCUUGAAAUGAUGGCUGUGGAAAUCAAAAGCCCCUCGUCUGCUUUAGUUGGCAAUCAGUACCAGGAACAGAUUAUUAUUACUCUGAUUAUUUUGAAUUCCCAAGUCGUAGAGGUUUUCCUUUAAUUACAUAUUGAGGGGCUGUUUUGUCCUUGUGCUCGAGGUCUCUGCAGCUUGAGCGAGAGAAUUUGUAUGCCUGACCAAUGAAACAGCAAUGCAGGCCCGGAGCCCGGGAGUACCAAUAUCUAAAUUAAUUUCCCAUUUUGGUCAUGGAUUAAAUGGUAUUGAACUUGCAGCCUUAUGGAUUGUAUUUGCCAGCUAGAGUAUCUGCUGAGCACACUGUCAAAUGUAAGUGGCAAUAAUACAGAGAUAAGAGAGGAGAUUGGUCCAGGGGCCAAUGAUUGGGAAUCCAUCUGACCCUCCGUGAACCUGAAGCGCUUGGCAGAGAGCCUUGCACAGAGUAAGAGCGAAAUUAAUACUUGUGAGCUGAACUCUGACCCCGUCCCAGUCUGACAGGUAGGAUUCCUGUCCUCCUGGGUGAGUUGUCACUGAGCUGACUGCCACCGAGGCUGUUUCAGGAACACACUGUGCCGUGAAUUCUUGUUCUCUUUUUUGGCCUUGGAAGCCCAAGCUUGUCCCUUUGGGGAUAUAUAUCCUCCUUGUUUCUCAUGCUGCACAGCUGCGGAAGCUGAGUGGACCGUGUUGGAUUUUUCAGAUGUUUCCUGUAUGACCGGAGAUGUGGGCAGGCCGAAGCACUGCCGCAGAAGGGUGACCUGCUACAUGAAAGGCACGUACGGAAGCCAUGAAAGAACAGACGGUGUUUACCUUGGUCAGGAGGAGCCUUCACAGAAUAGCAGAGAGGAGAUUGGAGGUACAAUGAUGCUACCAGGUGCAACCCAAGAAUUUGCUUUGUGUGGCCUUUAAGAAGAAGGCUGAGACCAGUGGAGCUUUGAGGGAAGAUCUUUUUGUCUGGAAGCAAUAACCCUUCUUUUCUGUGACCACUGUUAGCAAGGAGAGAGAAGAAAUGUAUGCAUAGAGAAGCACGAUGGCAAAUGGCUAAUAUAUGACGUGCUAACUCCAGUCACUUGGUGGAAGCUGGCUGUAAUGGCACAGUCAUUAUGAGCAUGGACAUUGGCAUGAAGUGAACCUGGCUUUGAAUAUUGGCUCAGCCCCUUCCAACUGUGUGACUUAACCUCUGAUUCUCGUUGUCUACAUCUGUAAAUGGAGAUAAUAGCAUUAGCUAUCUCAUUAGGGAUGUUGUGGGGCUAGGAAAGGAGAUAAUGCGUGUAAAGCAAUUAGUACAGUGCCUGACACAUUAUAAGCCAUAGAUGUUAGCACUGAGAAAGAUCGUGAGGUGAGAGAGACAAAGAUUGUAAGAUCGUACAAAGUGAGGAAGCAAGCCUGGAUCAAUUAAUGAUGUCUGCCACGGGAGUGAAAGAAAGUAGGCCAUACAUUUAUCAUCUUUGGGGUAUAGUUGAAUGAAACAAUCAUUUACACUCAGUCUUUGUAUUUGGUUUUUUUAUGUUACGUAGUUAUCUACUUACAACUUAAAAAAAUAAAUUAGAG